rnacentral:lncRNA from 1 species
CUUCCUCUUCACCCUCUCCUUCAGUAGAAUCCACACCGACCUCCUCAUAAUCCUUCCCAAGGGCAGCCAUGUCCUCACGGGCCUCAGAAAACUCUCCUUCCUCUAUGCGCUUACCCACUACCAGUGAACAAAGGCAUGCUUGGCAUACAUCAGGUCAAACUUGUAGUCCAGGUGAGCCCAGGCCUCAGUGAUGGCUAUGGUGUUGCUUAGCAUGCACACAGCUCGCUGUACUUUGGCCAGGUCUCCACCAGGUACCACAGUGAGAGGCUGGUAAUCAAUGCCAACUUUGAAGCCAAUGGGACACCAGUCUACAAACUGGAUGCUGCACUUGGUCUUGAUAGUGGCAAUGGCAGCACUGACAUCUUUGGGAACCAUGUCGCCAUGGUGCAACAGGCAGCAAGCCAUAUGUUUACCAUGGGGAGCGUCAUAUUUCACCACCUGAUUGGCUGGCCCAAAGCAUGCAGGUGUUCAUGGUAGACUUCUCAGCAGAGGUGACAGGGGCAUAUGUGGCCAGAGGGAAGUGGAUGUGGGGAUAGGGCACCCGGUUGG